AGUGAACGCUGGCGGUAGGCCUAACACAUGCAAGUCGAACGGCAGCACAGUAAGAGCUUGCUCUUACGGGUGGCGAGUGGCGGACGGGUGAGGAAUACAUCGGAAUCUACUUUUUCGUGGGGGAUAACGUAGGGAAACUUACGCUAAUACCGCAUACGACCUACGGGUGAAAGCAGGGGAUCUUCGGACCUUGCGCGAUUGAAUGAGCCGAUGUCGGAUUAGCUAGUUGGCGGGGUAAAGGCCCACCAAGGCGACGAUCCGUAGCUGGUCUGAGAGGAUGAUCAGCCACACUGGAACUGAGACAUGGUCCAGACUCCUACGGGAGGCAGCAGUGGGGAAUAUUGGACAAUGGGCGCAAGCCUGAUCCAGCCAUACCGCGUGGGUGAAGAAGGCCUUCGGGUUGUAAAGCCCUUUUGUUGGGAAAGAAAAGCAGUAGGUUAAUACCCCGCUGUUCUGACGGUACCCAAAGAAUAAGCACCGGCUAACUUCGUG
rnacentral:rRNA from 1 species